GGAAGUAUAAGUCGUAACAAGGUUUCCGUAGGUGAACCUGCGGAAGGAUCAUUAUUGUAUAACCGAGGUGCGAGGGCUGUCGCUGACCCGAAAGGUCGUGCACGCCCGAGUGCCCUCACACACAUCCAUCUCACCCCUAUGUGCACCACCGCGUGGGUCCCCCUUUGGCUUGUUCGGAGGGGGGCUUACGUUUUCACAUAAACUUUGUAUGCAGUGUAGAAUGUAUUUUUUGUUUUUGCGAUCACGCAAUCAAUACAACUUUCAACAACGGAUCUCUUGGCUCUC
rnacentral:misc_RNA from 1 species